rnacentral:tRNA from 1 species
GCGGCUGUAGCAUAGUGGUAAUGCACUGGCUUCCCAAGCCAGCUAUGUGGGUCCGAUUCCCAUCAGCCGCU